rnacentral:rRNA from 1 species
UGGGGAAUAUUGCACAAUGGGCGCAAGCCUGAUGCAGCCAUGCCGCGUGUGUGAAGAAGGCCUUCGGUUGUAAAGCACUUUCAGCGAGGAGGAAGGUGGUGAGCUUAAUACGCUCAUCAAUUGACGUUACUCGCAGAAGAAGCACCGGCUAACUCCGUGCCAGCAGCCGCGGUAAUACGGAGGGUGCAAGCGUUAAUCGGAAUUACUGGGCGUAAAGCGCACGCAGGCGGUUUGUUAAGUCAGAUGUGAAAUCCCCGGGCUCAACCUGGGAACUGCAUUUGAAACUGGCAAGCUAGAGUCUCGUAGAGGGGGGUAGAAUUCCAGGUGUAGCGGUGAAAUGCGUAGAGAUCUGGAGGAAUACCGGUGGCGAAGGCGGCCCCCUGGACGAAGACUGACGCUCAGGUGCGAAAAGCGUGGGGAGCAAAACAGGAUUAGAUACCCUGGUAGUCCACGCUGUAAAACGAUGUCGAUUUUGGAGGUUGUGCCCUUGAGGCGUGGCUUCCGGAGCUAACGCGUUAAAUCGACCGCCU